rnacentral:misc_RNA from 1 species
CAGUGUCAUCUCCAGCAAACCCAGCACAUCGCUCAACGAACGGGGAGAAAAAAAGGUGGAAUAGGCGCACACCAAAGUAGCGUGGCGAUCCUUGAGAAAAACACCUACUCACCGAGGUGGCAAUCAGUAGCGGUCAAGCUGCACGCGCUGACGUCGCAGAACGUACGAUACGCAGAGCAGGACCCUUCACGCGCCCACUAAGAAAGGAUUACGCUUGCUCUUCUCUCUGCCCCUUUCCCCCAGACACACCUGCUCCUAUCACGACUUCCGUCUCCCGCCUAACAAACCCGUCAUCGUCAUCCUUAUCAGCGUUCUCACACGUAGUGACCCCACUUUCUCUCUAGGAGCAAGCCCGCCUUCACAUUGAGGCAGUGGCAUCGCUUUUUCGUUGUUGUCUCCACCUCCUGCUUCCUGCCUCUGUGGUUGUCUCUCCGUGACCUUGCGCGCUUCAAGCUUUUGAACCCGGUAGCUGCUCGCAACCUCACGCCUCCUUCCUUUCUCUCCGUCUCUGACAACGAUAUACGUUGAGCUCCCACCGCCGCUGUCCCCCGGCCCACCCCAUCCGUAACUCCAUCACGGUCACUACGGCUACGCACAUACGCACAUCUCUGCGUUGCAUUCCACAGGAUAUCAUAUUCUAUUCUGUGUCUGCCUGCGUGCCUGCGCGCGCCUCUCUUCUUCGCCCCGAUUAUUGCUGCUACCUGCUCUUACCGUGUUGGGGAAGGGGAGGGCGGCGACCCGGCAUCGAUACGCGCAUACACGCACGUAUAUACAUAUAUAUAUAUAUAUAUAUACGUAUAUCUUUGUGUGUUUGUGCGGCGGUGCUGUGUGAUGCAGCGUCCGUCACGGUGGAGCCCCUCACCACCCACACACACACACACGCACGCACGCACGCGCAUGCCUUCUUGAGCAUUUUUCGCCGUGGUGGUCAGGGGCCCUUUUCUCUCUGCCUCACUUUUUGUGGGCAUAUCGCACCUCUGCACCACUCCGCCCGGUGCGCACGCCUCUGGCGAGGUCCACCGCUUGACAAGAUGAAGGACACCAAAGGCAGCGGCAACAAAGUGGCGCGCGCCGCGUCGUCGGCCGCCGGUAGCGCGGCCUCGAGCCCUCGAAAAGGCCAAGUGCGCUAUCGCCGCACCUUGCAGGGCCAGCGUGCAGAAACCGACGGCAAGUCAUCGGAGGGCGUGGUUGCUGCCACGCAGGCGCGCCGCGUCGCGCCGGUGGUGCAGUCGGCGGCUCUCAUGCAUAUCGAAACAAGCAUCGACGCGAUGCACCGCCCGCCGCCCGUGGAGGUGUCACCGUCGAACCCGAGGGUGUCUGCAGCACGACGGUACGCGCCUUCCGUCGCGGGUGGGCAACAUCAUCACCGCGGGCAGCACAAGGGGUUGUCUGCGAGCGGUCAGCCGAAGAGCCGCUGGAUGCGCCUGCGCUCCUUCAUGUUUGGCCGGGAGGAGUUCGUGGACUUCGACAACGCAUUCGCGAGUCCGACUGACUCCGCAAAGGUUACCGACUCGCAGCGACGCACAGCACGGAUGAUCGAGCGUCUGCCGCUCCCCAGCUGGAUGAAGCACAACCUCUUCGAUGUAGUCGACUUUCUGACACGCAGGCGGGUGCAUCUUGUCGUGCUCAUUCUCGCAGUGCUCAUGUUUGUGAUUGCGCCAGAAGGUGUGAUGGAGGACGUCGCCGGCUCCUUCACGGUCGAUGAGGACGCGCGACCGGGGCUCACCUUCUUCAAGAAGUACAACAGGGGUGACACAUACUUGCCGCGGCGGCACCCCGUCGUCAUCAUGCCGGGCUUCAUCACCGGCGCGCUGGAGGUGUGGGAAACCUCGCUGCCGUGUGCGCGGCAGAAGUCCUUCUUUUCGGGGUUCCGGCAGCGCAUGUUUGGACCGCAGAUGAUCUACCUCAUCCUGUCCGACCCGCAGUGCUGGCUGGACAUGUUCAGCAUGAACAAGAAAACCGGGAUGGACCGCGACGACACGAAGGUGCGCGCCGACUCUGGCUUCGCCUCGGUGGACUACUUCGUCCCUGGCUACUGGGUGUGGGCGAAGGUGCUCAUCAACCUCGCGGACAUCGGUUACGACCCGCAGAGCAUGGCAGUCGUGACAUACGACUGGCGCCUCUCCCCUGGUAAGGCGCACGAGCGCGACGGGUUCUUUUACCAGGUGCGCAACAGCCUGCGCUUUCUGUGCCAGAAGAACCGGAAGCGGGCGGUGGUCAUUUCGCACAGCUACGGCGCGACCGUCGCCCUGGCCUUCUUCCGGUGGGCAGAGCAGCGCGAGAGCGGCUUUAUGGACCGCCACGUCGCCUACUACGUGAACGUAGGCGGCGUUGCAAUGGGCGUUGGCAAGGCUGCCUCAGCGCUGCUGCUCGGCGACGCAAGAGACACGCUCAACAUUCAGUGGGCGGCCAGGAAGAUGUUCGACACCUUUAUCAGCCAGGAGGCCCGCUAUGGCUUGUCGCGGUCGUGGAGCUGCCUGGUGUCGAUGCUGCCGCGCGGUUGCGAGGAGGCGUGGCCGGGGCUCACGGUGCUGCCUAACGGCACCGCUCUCGGCACUCGCGGCACGGCGGAACUAAUCCGCGGUGAAUGCCAGCGCUCCGGUCACGAGGACUGCGUUCGUCAGAUCGACUCCUUCUUGGAGACUAUCGACGACUUGCCCUCGCUGCCGCAGGCACCAAACACAACGGUGGCGUGCCUGUACGGCGUCGGCUUGCCAGCGGAGGCAGGCUACUAUCUCAUGUGGAACCCAGACGAGGCGAACAUCGAAACCCCGUACGUAGGCAACAGCUCCGUAUUUAACAACAACACUUCACAUGGCGUGCGCAUGUCGGAUGGCGAUGAUACGGUGCCGCUCAUGUCGCUCGCGUACAUGUGUCGCGCCGUGAACGGGUGGAGACGCAAUGUGGGCCGCGUCGUGACGCGGGAAUUCAACCACAGCGUCAGUGGUGCCUCGUCCUUGAACCUGCGCGGUGGUAAACUGAGUGCCAAGCAUGUCGACAUUCUUGGCAACUACGAGAUGCUCGAGAUAAUCUUGAAGAUCGCCAGCGGCAUCGACGAGGAGGGUGUCGAGAAGCCUGAGAACGACGAGUUCAACUACACAAACGCGGACACCGGCGAGACCUCUACGCUGCAGCGCCGUGUGCACGACCGCAUCUACUCCGACGUGGACUUCAUUAUACGUAGCAACCUGCGCAGCUGCCUGCGCAAGAAGAACAAGCCGAUCAAACCUAUAGAGAGCUACGAGGAUGAUGACGAAUUUGCGUGGAGUGGCACUUCCAAGUCGUCGUGGCAACAACGGUAGGUCGAGCGUUUUCCAUAGGUGACUGGAAAGGUGGGGACCGAAUGGGAAGAGACGCACAGCGAGGGCCAGCUCGACAAGGACGUCAGGCGUCGGUCGUGUUGAAGAAUCAGCGAGGUACGCAGGCGUUGGCCUCAUCUAGGCGGUGUCCGGAGAGGUGGAUUCGGCUUCGCACUUGGAGGGAGGUGGACGCACACAUCCCACCGCCUUCUCAACAUUUUUGUUUUCCGUGGUACCCCUCAUGACGUCUCCCCCUCUGGUGACAGGAGGGCACACAUACACACACCUCUCAGAGCGUGGUGUCUCAGGGCCCUGUGCGACUCCCCCCACCCCCCACUCUCUGUGUUAGGGAGGCCAAACACCCCCCCCCCCCUCUUCUACCUCUGCCAAUGCAGAACCCACCUCUGGCGGUGCGUCGGGACGGCCGACGACAGUGAACACGUCUGUGCCAUCCAUACGAUGGGCAGCACGUGUCAGGGUGACUCGAGCGUAUGCCUCACACGGCCCUCACACGGCCCACUGAUGUGUGGGGAGGAGCCUGUGUGCCACCCCGAGGGAGGGGGGAGGGGGGAUGCACCAGGCGUGGCGACCGGCAUGAUUGGGGGGCGGCUGUGUGGGGUGGGGGAGUAGAGCUUGAGACAGAGAUGGUGUACAGGUCGCUGAGUCGGCGCAUUUGCUGUAGCACACGUGUGUGUCUGCGGUUUGCUUCGCACCACGCGGAUGGGGCCUGGUGACAGGGCCGUGGAAGGGUGGGUGGGCGAAGGGGUGUGCAGAGUGGCGUUGGACUCAUACGCGAGGGCUGAGAAAUGAAGGCAGCGGCAGACGAAGAACGUUGUUUUCGGAUUUGCGGGGCAGCGCUGUGAGUGGGAGUGUGGGUGUUUGCGUGCCUUCCUUCCCUCUUUUUGGAUGGUUUCACGUAUGCUUUUCAUUGUUCUUCCCUUGAUGGCUUUUUUUUUCUGGUUUCUCUAGAGUGUAACGCGCACCCACGCGUACGUCGCCUACUCGUUGUGGAUGCUCUUCGAGCUCGCGGGUCGUGCGAUGUGGCGUGCGGGCGUGGGGCGCAGUGAUGCAACGUUUGGCCGGGGGAACGAAACGGAAACGGGGAGCAGAGAGAAGCAGGCCUGCAGCUGUCGAUGCAUUCUUGGGGUGCUGUGCAUGUCUGCGUGCGCGUGAGGGGGAGGCGCACAUGUUAUGUUGGACAGCGACUCGUUUUCUUUCCUUCUUUGGAGGACUCCCACGUUGGGUGACUGAAGCCGAAAAAAAAAGGCAACACAC